CGUAGGGUGCGAGCGUUGUCCGGAAUUAUUGGGCGUAAAGAGCUCGUAGGCGGUUUGUCGCGUCGGCCGUGAAAACUUGGGGCUUAACUCCAAGCUUGCGGUCGAUACGGGCAGACUUGAGUUCGGCAGGGGAGACUGGAAUUCCUGGUGUAGCGGUGAAAUGCGCAGAUAUCAGGAGGAACACCGGUGGCGAAGGCGGGUCUCUGGGCCGACACUGACGCUGAGGAGCGAAAGCGUGGGGAGCGAACAGGAUUAGAUACCCUGGUAGUCCACGCCGUAAACGGUGGGUGCUAGGUGUGGGGGGCUUCCACGCCCUCUGUGCCGCAGCUAACGCAUUAAGCACCCCGCCUGGGGAGUACGGCCGCAAGGCUA
rnacentral:rRNA from 1 species